AGAGUUUGAUCCUGGCUCAGGAUGAACGCUAGCGGGAGGCUUAACACAUGCAAGUCGAGGGGUAAUCCCGAUUUAUCGGGAACGACCGGCGCACGGGUGAGUAACGCGUAUGCAACCUACCUUUUACAGAGGAAUAGCCCAGAGAAAUUUGGAUUAAUACCUCAUAGCACUGUCAAUUCGCAUGAUUUGACAGUUAAAGUUUCGGCGGUAAAAGAUGGGCAUGCGUGACAUUAGAUAGUUGGCGGGGUAACGGCCCACCAAGUCAGCGAUGUCUAGGGGUUCUGAGAGGAUGAUCCCCCACACUGGUACUGAGACACGGACCAGACUCCUACGGGAGGCAGCAGUGAGGAAUAUUGGUCAAUGGACGCAAGUCUGAACCAGCCAUCCCGCGUGAAGGAUGACGGUCCUAUGGAUUGUAAACUUCUUUUAUGUACCAAGAAUGUGCCCUACGUGUAGGGUUUUGACGGUAGUACAUGAAUAAGCAUCGGCUAACUCCGUGCCAGCAGCCGCGGUAAUACGGAGGAUGCGAGCGUUAUCCGGAUUCAUUGGGUUUAAAGGGUGCGUAGGCGGCUUAUUAAGUCAGUGGUGAAAUCCUGCGGCUCAACCGUAGAACUGCCAUUGAAACUGAUAAGCUUGAAUAUAGUUGAGGUAGGCGGAAUGAGUAGUGUAGCGGUGAAAUGCUUAGAGAUUACUCAGAACACCGAUUGCGAAGGCAGCUUACUAAACUAAUAUUGACGCUGAGGCACGAAAGCGUGGGGAGCGAACAGGAUUAGAUACCCUGGUAGUCCACGCCGUAAACGAUGUUCACUCGCUGCUUGCGAUACAUAGUAAGUGGCCAAGCGAAAGCAUUAAGUGAACCACCUGGGGAGUACGUCGGCAACGGUGAAACUCAAAGGAAUUGACGGGGGCCCGCACAAGCGGAGGAACAUGUGGUUUAAUUCGAUGAUACGCGAGGAACCUUACCUGGGCUUAAAUGUAGAUUGCAUGUGGUGGAAACACCCUUCUCUUCGGAGCUAUCUACAAGGUGCUGCAUGGUUGUCGUCAGCUCGUGCCGUGAGGUGUCGGGUUAAGUCCCAUAACGAGCGCAACCCCUAUCGUUAGUUGCCAUCAGGUUAAGCUGGGGACUCUAACGAGACUGCCACCGUAAGGUGAGAGGAAGGUGGGGAUGACGUCAAAUCAGCACGGCCCUUAUGUCCAGGGCUACACACGUGUUACAAUGGCAGGUACAAAGGGCAGCUACACCGCGAGGUGAUGCUAAUCUCGAAAGCCUGUCUCAGUUCGGAUCGGAGUCUGCAACUCGACUCCGUGAAGUUGGAUUCGCUAGUAAUCGCGUAUCAGCAAUGACGCGGUGAAUACGUUCCCGGGCCUUGUACACACCGCCCGUCAAACCAUGGAAGCUGGGGGGACCUGAAGUCUGUCACCGUAAGGAGCGGCCUAGGGUAAAACCGGUAACUGGGGUUAAGUCGGAACAAGGUA
rnacentral:rRNA from 1 species